GUGGUGUUGUUUAUGACAAUGGCACACCGGAAACCGGCGCCAUCUUAGAGUUGGCUUCCUACAAAAACCUGCUCACUGGAUACUUACUAAGAUUACCAUCUUUGGUUGUCUCAACCUUGUGAAGAGGGUGACAUGUCAACCAACUCUGUUUCCCAGAGUCUUGGUAAUGUCUGCAUUAAACAUUAUGAAUGAGCCGGUGGAACGUGCAUUGUCUCUUUUUGCUAUUAAGAAAAUAUUUGCUGGCAGCUUCCAAACUGGCAGCCAGGAGAAGUGGCUGUAAAAUCACCACAGUGAAAAGGAUGUCUUCAUUGGUCAAGACAGAGAAGCUAUAAAACCCAGACAAACAUAUAAUAAUAACAGUAAUGAUGUUCAGGUCUUGGACAAUGAGAAGAAUAAACAGGUUGCAGAAAAAGGAAAGGUGAGUGUG
rnacentral:lncRNA from 1 species